GAAUUAUCAUCUUAGAAUAUCUGGUGAUCUCAAAUCUGAGACAGAUCUAUCCCAGCUCAUAUAGUGAAUUUCAUGUUAAAUUGUGACUUAGAAGUAGCUAGACUGACUAAUGCCUAGUGUUAGAUGUAGGUUUGGAUUUUAUUUCUGUGGAAUCUGGUCCAAGUAACUACUAAUUCCUAAACCUGUUUCCUAUAUGGUGUUGAGGCUUAACUAAGAUAAGAAAAGUACAUUGUAAAAUAACAAGGGGUUAUCUGACAUUCCACAUUUCUAGCAUUUUUAGUUUUUAUUUAAUUGAACCUUUGAAAAAAUUUAGCAAUAAUCCCACAACUGAAGUAGCUUUGUUCAUUUAUACAAUAUAGGUGUUUUUUUUAAACUUUGUACAUCAUAAGUUUAUGGUGCAUAAUAUAUGGGGUCUCUUUGGUUUACCAUAUACUUAAUGGCUACAGAAUAUAGUCUACUCAGUAGAUGGAAAUUCCUAGGAUUUUAAAACACCAUACCAUUUAAGACAAAUAAUCACAAGAUUAAAGGUGCACGGCAAGUUACUGGCAGGAACUAAAAGCCAAGCGCUUAGCUAAUGUUCUUUUGUUUAUCCUGUUCCUCCUUCCCACAAACUAUGUAAUGAGUUAGAAACAGCUCCUGUCCUCAAGAAGCUAAAGGAUAACCAUUUAAGGCUUUGGUAACUUUGACCCUGAAGCUGCUUUGUGAUCCUUUCAUAAUGUAUUGCAAAGUGUGGCUACUUACACUUUUACUUGAUCCACCUCCUUUCUCUUAGACCCUCUCUUCACAUGUAAUGGUUGCUUCUAACAACUGCUCACUGAUGUGACCCUGCUCUGAUCCAGUCUGGCAAACUAGGUGUAUGGAAAAACCAAACCAGAGAUUGAAUUCUGAAGAAACAAACAUUCAACAAUUGCUCUCCCCAAAAAUGAAGCUCCCAGAGACAAAAGAAUGGCAC
rnacentral:lncRNA from 1 species